GGGGAUUCAGUGAAAGAAACAAAUUAGAUUUAGAACCAGGGUUCAUUUGACUUCAUUCAUAUCUCCAAAUUUCACCCACAAAUUAUUAAUUACAAAGAGAAAAAGCUAAUUUUACAAUUGUGAAAUCUAGUGUAUUCUUUGCCGAACUGAGUGAAAAAAAUUCUAGAAAUAGCACUUAAAGCUUGCAGUUGUGACCUAAUUAAUCCUUUUUUAUCAUUACAGUUGUGACCUAAUUAAUCCUUUUCACACCCUGCAAAUUUGGAAUUAUUUUCCUUGUUUUAUGAAAGAAAAAACUGCUCCAAGAGGUGUAGGAACUCAUUGAUACCUAGAGAAGGAAUCUGUUUACAGAAAGAGGAAAUUUAGGCCGCGGCACAUACAGAGGGCAGAUGAAGUGAAGACACAGGAAGAAGAUGGCCAUGGACAGGACGAUGAGAGAGGCUGGAACGGGUCCUUCCCUCACAGCCCUCAGAAGGAACCAUCUAGAUCUUGGACUUCUAGACUCUAGAAUCGAACACGGAGAAGACAUUAAUAUUAUCCAUGUAAAUAAAACAUGUCACUGCAGAACAACAAAAGCUAUCCCUUCAGCCCAGCUAGUGACUAAUGAUGUCACUAAUAGUGAAACAGUCAGUUUCAAAUGAUUCCAUAACAAUGUUCUCUGAAAAAGACCAAUGAACUGCUUCCAUCAUGGAGUCCCAUGGGAUUUCCCACAAAAGGAAUUCUUUUAAACUCAGAGCUGGUUUAGAAGGUGACUAGCCUGACGUUGCCUGUCCUGGUCCUCCAGGCCCUAGGAAGUCACAUGGACACACUGGAGAGAACCGGGGGGACAUGGUGAUGGGGAGCCGCCUACCAGGCUGGAAGGCGGUGGUUCUGCUCCUCUGGUGUUUGAGUAGAAAUAUCAAACAAUCUCCAGAUAUUUUCUACUAACAUGGAUACAGUCUGGGAAUCCAGCAUGACCAUCUCUAUGUUUCAUCUUGUUCUUUGUUUCUGUCGACAGUAGGUCUCCUCCUCAUUGCCAUUAACCAGAAAAGUGGAACCUACUGUUUUUAAGGGCAAGAAACAAUUGUUUCUUUACUGGGCCCAACUUGAAGAUUUGAGUCGCCACACUAGCUAUCCAAAAGGGGUGGCUCAGGCUUCACUCAGAUUCUUUGGAUUCCACGUUUCCCCUUAAUAGGACUGUGACAAUGAGGAGGAUAUUCUAGUUUAUCCCAUCUCUCUGUAUUGUGCUCAUAUAGCAAUGAUUUAACUUCUCCUUUACAACUUAUGCGGAGGAAAUACAUAUGGACUUUGUGGGAUAUGCAAAGAUAAAUGAGCAAUCUGAAUUCCAGGAGUGUAGAAACUAACAAGUGAUCUAAGUAUGUUAGCAACUGGUCAUGAUAUAAAAAAAAUGAAAUAACUUUUUUAAUAGGUUGCAAAUGAGUAUGGAGGGGUGUGGAUUUUAACUGGGGAGGGUUGAUUUUGAUCAAAAAAGCUUUCUUGGGAGUGGUGUCAUUUAAUAUCCUUCAGUAUGAGUGGGAUCUUGGUAAGUGAAUAAUGGCAUUGAGGUCAGAUGAAAUAACGUACAAAGGCCUAGAGUACUAAGAAUAUGGCACUGUUGGGGAACAGUAUGGAUAAACAACAAAAAUGCAUUUCUAGCUUUGAGAAAAAAGAAUAUUCUUAUCUAAUUUUUGGUUGAGAAAUAUAAUUCUCUGUUAAUGGGAAGAUUGGAUUGGAAAGUCAUGUAUCAAAUACUUGAUAGGGCUGGUGAGCUUUGCUUGGACAUAUGACGCUUCCUUAAGGUCACCUGUAGCUAGCAGAAAUCCAGGCAUGUCAUUUCUAUGCCUUAGAGGAUCUUUUCUGUUCCUUGAGGCCUUCCAUCUCCCCAUCAAUGCUAUUAACCAAUUUUGAAUUCUCCUGGUAACACAUAGAGAGGGUCAGAGUCCCUCUUUGUAUUGUAUUACACUAGAAAUACCCUUGGAAGUACAUAGUUGAAAUAUAGGUGACUUUAGGGGAUCCCUGGGUGGCGCAGCGGUUUGGUGCCUGCCUUUGGCCCAGGGCGCGAUCCUGGAGACCCGGGAUUGAAUCCCACAUCGGGCUCCC